rnacentral:rRNA from 1 species
UACGUAGGGUGCGAGCGUUGUCCGGAUUUAUUGGGCGUAAAGAGCUCGUAGGCGGCUUGUCGCGUCGAAUGUGAAAUCUCGGGGCUCAACUCCGAGCUUGCAUUCGAUACGGGCAGGCUAGAGUUCGGUAGGGGAGACUGGAAUUCCUGGUGUAGCGGUGAAAUGCGCAGAUAUCAGGAGGAACACCGGUGGCGAAGGCGGGUCUCUGGGCCGAUACUGACGCUGAGGAGCGAAAGCGUGGGGAGCGAACAGG